rnacentral:rRNA from 1 species
GAUGAACGCUGGCGGCGUGCCUAAUACAUGCAAGUCGAGCGAACAGAUAAGGAGCUUGCUCCUUUGACGUUAGCGGCGGACGGGUGAGUAACACGUGGGUAACCUACCUAUAAGACUGGAAUAACUCCGGGAAACCGGGGCUAAUGCCGGAUAACAUUUAGAAACGCAUGGUUCUAAAGUGAAAGAUGGUUUUGCUAUCACUUAUAGAUGGACCCGCGCCGUAUUAGCUAGUUGGUAAGGUAAAGGCUUACCAAGGCAACGAUACGUAGCCGACCUGAGAGGGUGAUCGGCCACACUGGAACUGAGACACGGUCCAGACUCCUACGGGAGGCAGCAGUAGGGAAUCUUCCGCAAUGGGCGAAAGCCUGACGGAGCAACGCCGCGUGAGUGAUGAAGGUCUUCGGAUCGUAAAACUCUGUUAUUAGGGAAGAACAAAUGUGUAAGUAACUGUGCACUUCUUGACGGUACCUAAUCAGAAAGCCACGGCUAACUACGUG